rnacentral:sRNA from 1 species
UAUUCUGCCCCAUGGGGAAGGAUGAGAAGCUUCGACUAAGGUUCGACUCGAGUGAAGCGAGAGAACGUUGCCGCAGGCAACGGCCCGAAGGGCGAGGAGCGAUAGCGACGAGUUAUCCUUCCCCCACCACCA